rnacentral:rRNA from 1 species
UACGGGGGAGCAAGCGUUGUUCGGAUUUACUGGGCGUAAAGGCGCGUAGGCGGCCAGCACAAGUCAGUUGUGAAAUCUCCGAGCUUAACUCGGAAAGGUCAACUGAUACUGUGCGGCUAGAGUGCGGAAGGGGCAACUGGAAUUCUUGGUGUAGCGGUGAAAUGCGUAGAUAUCAAGAGGAACACCUGCGGCGAAGGCGGGUUGCUGGGCCGACACUGACGCUGAGGCGCGAAAGCCAGGGGAGCGAACGGG